rnacentral:rRNA from 1 species
AUUGAACGCUGGCGGCAGGCCUAACACAUGCAAGUCGAGCGGAUGAAGGGAGCUUGCUCCUGGAUUCAGCGGCGGACGGGUGAGUAAUGCCUAGGAAUCUGCCUGGUAGUGGGGGAUAACGUCCGGAAACGGGCGCUAAUACCGCAUACGUCCUGAGGGAGAAAGUGGGGGAUCUUCGGACCUCACGCUAUCAGAUGAGCCUAGGUCGGAUUAGCUAGUUGGUGGGGUAAAGGCCUACCAAGGCGACGAUCCGUAACUGGUCUGAGAGGAUGAUCAGUCACACUUGAACUGAGACACGGUCCAGACUCCUACGGGAGGCAGCAGUGGGGAAUAUUGGACAAUGGGCGAAAGCCUGAUCCAGCCAUGCCGCGUGUGUGAAGAAGGUCUUCGGAUUGUAAAGCACUUUAAGUUGGGAGGAAGGGCAGUAAGUUAAGACCUUGCUGUUUUGACGUUACCAACAGAAUAAGCACCGGCUAACUUCGU